rnacentral:rRNA from 1 species
UACAGAGGUCCCAAGCGUUGUUCGGAUUCAUUGGGCGUAAAGGGUGCGUAGGCGGCGCGGUAAGUCGGGUGUGAAAUCUCGGGGCUUAACCCCAAGUCUGCAUCCGAUACGGGCAGGCUAGAGGCAGGUAGGGGAGAACGGAAUUCCCGGUGUAGCGGUGAAAUGCGCAGAUAUCGGGAGGAACACCGGUGGCGAAGGCGGUUCUCUGGGCCUGUACUGACGCUGAGGAGCGAAAGCGUGGGAGCGAACAGG